rnacentral:rRNA from 1 species
UACGAAGGGUGCAAGCGUUACUCGGAAUUACUGGGCGUAAAGCGUGCGUAGGCGGUUUGUUAAGUCUGUCGUGAAAUCCCCGGGCUUAACCUGGGAAUGGCGUUUGGGACUGGGUCGCUAGAGUGUGGCAGAGGGAGGUGGAAUUCCACGUGUAGCAGUGAAAUGCGUAGAGAUGUGGAGGAACACCGAUGGCGAAGGCAGCCUCCUGGGCCAGCACUGACGCUCAUGACACGGAAAGCGUGGGGAGCAAACAGG